UAAGGUCCUAGCUUAAUUAAAGCAUCUGAGUUGCAUUCAGAAGAUGCAGGGUAGUAUCUUGCGGACUUUAGC
rnacentral:tRNA from 1 species